rnacentral:rRNA from 1 species
GACGAACGCUGGCGGCGUGCCUAAUACAUGCAAGUAGAACGCUAAAGAGAGGAGCUUGCUCUUCUUGGAUGAGUUGCGAACGGGUGAGUAACGCGUAGGUAACCUGCCUUGUAGCGGGGGAUAACUAUUGGAAACGAUAGCUAAUACCGCAUAACAAUGGAUGACACAUGUCAUUUAUUUGAAAGGGGCAAUUGCUCCACUACAAGAUGGACCUGCGUUGUAUUAGCUAGUAGGUGAGGUAAUGGCUCACCUAGGCGACGAUACAUAGCCGACCUGAGAGGGUGAUCGGCCACACUGGGACUGAGACACGGCCCAGACUCCUACGGGAGGCAGCAGUAGGGAAUCUUCGGCAAUGGGGGCAACCCUGACCGAGCAACGCCGCGUGAGUGAAGAAGGUUUUCGGAUCGUAAAGCUCUGUUGUAAGUCAAGAACGGGUGUGAGAGUGGAAAGUUCACACUGUGACGGUAGCUUACCAGAAAGGGACGGCUAACUACGUG